rnacentral:rRNA from 1 species
GAUGAACGCUGGCGGCGUGCUUAACACAUGCAAGUCGAACGAAGUGUUUAUUCUAAUUUGUUCGGGAUAGAGAAUAAAUUACUUAGUGGCGGAUGGGUGAGUAACGCUUGGGUAACCUGUCUCACACAGGGGGUUAACCUAUUGAAACGACUGCUAAUACCGCAUAAGACCACAGCACCGCAUGUUGGAGGGGUAGAAGUUUUAUCGGUGUGGGAUGGACUUGCGUCUGAUUAGUUGGUUGGUGGGGUAGAAGCCUAGCAAGUAAACGAGCAGUAGCCGACCUGGGGAGGGGCCCGGUCACGAUGGGGCUGAGACACAGACCACUCUCGUACGGAACGGAGGAGUAGAGAGUAUUAGACAAGGAAGGAAAACCUGAUCACGCAGCGCCGCGGGAGUGAAGAAGUAGUUCGGUAUGUAAAGCUCUAUCAGCAGGGAAGAAAAUGACGGUAACUGACAAAGAAGCCCCGGCUAACUACGUG